CGCUCAACCACCCUGGCCAAAUCUCACGACGAAAACCCUAGCAAUCCCAAUCCCUCACCUUUCCAUCCCUCUCUUUUCCCUGAUUUCACUCUCUUCUUAUCUCCAUUGCACUAUCCUUUGAUGUUUCUCUCCGUUUUAGUUGGGCAGUCGGUGAAGAGGGAGUUAUCAACAUUGGUAUGUUCCUGUGAUCUCCCAAUCGGCAAGAGGCUCCUCCAAGCAUUCACGAUCCGUUCUUCCAUUUGCUCAACGAUCGCCAUUAAAGGCUCGAUCUUUAGGGAUAAUUCAAUCUCAUGUGCUCUUUGUCUUGAAAGGUGCUUCUUCCUAGGUAAUAGUUUAUUGUUGUAUUUUUGUUAUGCAUCAUGCGGCUAUAAGAGAGAAGAAUA